rnacentral:rRNA from 1 species
AGCAGCCGCGGUAAUUCCAGCUCCAAUAGCGCAUAUUAAAGUUGUUGCAGUUAAAAAGCUCGUAGUUGAAUUUUGGAUUCUUCCAAUUGGUCCAUCUUUUAGAUGAGUACUGGUUGUGUGGGGUCUAUCCGCCUGGUGAUACGUAAUGUCCUUUAUUGGAUGUUGCGGGUAGUCAGGACCUUUACCUUGAAAAAUUAGAGUGUUUAAAGCAGGCUUAUGCCGGAAUACAUUAGCAUGGAAUAAUAGAAUAGGACGAAGUUGUUUUAUUUUGUUGGUUUCUAGGACAACCGUAAUGAUUAAUAGGGAUAGUUGGGGGCAUUAGUAUUCAAUUGUCAGAGGUGAAAUUCUUGGAUUUAUUGAAGACUAACUACUGCGAAAGCAUUUGCCAAGGAUGUUUUCAUUAAUCAAGAACGAAAGUUAGGGGAUCGAAGACGAUCAGAUACCGUCGUA